rnacentral:ncRNA from 1 species
UUGUUGAACAGUAUUAUUCUAUAAUGGUGGUGUCCGGCCAACUUGCAGCUGCUGAAGCCAUAGGCAGGCAAAAGAAAACCUGGCGAACUGAAGAUCUUAGUAGCCAGAAGGAAAGAAAGCAAAAGCGAUUCCCGUAAUAACAACGGACAAAAUGGGAGUUGCCUAAACCAUAAAACGGGAUUGUGGGAGGGCAAUACAAGCGUUGUGCAGCUACCGAAGCAGUCUGAAUGCUGCACCCAAGAUAGCGAAAGUCCAGUAGCCGCACCUCUAUUAAUCCACUAGAUAUCUGCUAUCUCCCAUGAGCAUAGGUAUUGAGCAACUCUACCUACGAAGACUCGAGCAGAUGAAAAA